rnacentral:misc_RNA from 1 species
CUUGACAAGGACGUUGAUCUUCCAGAUGAAGAGAAGGAAAUAGAUGCCAAAGAACGUGACCUUGUGGUAGGAAAAGUAUAUGCUAAGAUUAUGGAGAUUGAGUCUCGUCUUCUGCCCUGUGGACUUCACAUCAUUGGUGAACCUCCAACCGCCAUGGAGGCAGUUGCCACUCUUGUCAACAUUGCUGCAUUGGACCGUGCUGAAGAUGAUAUUUCUUCCCUUCCAUCUAUUCUGGCUGCCACAGUUGGCAGAAAUAUUGAGGAGAUCUAUCGAGGAAAUGACAAUGGAGUCUUGCGAGAUGUGGAGCUGCUUCGUCAAAUUACUGAGGCAUCACGUGGAG